AGUGAACGCUGGCGGUAGGCCUAACACAUGCAAGUCGAACGGCAGCACAGUAAGAGCUUGCUCUUACGGGUGGCGAGUGGCGGACGGGUGAGGAAUACAUCGGAAUCUACUUUUUCGUGGGGGAUAACGUAGGGAAACUUACGCUAAUACCGCAUACGCCCUACGGGUGAAAGCAGGGGAUCUUCUGACCUUGCGCGAUUGGAUGAGCCGAUGUCGGAUUAGCUAGUUGGCGGGGUAAAGGCCCACCAAGGCGACGAUCCGUAGCUGGUAUGAGAGGAUGAUCAGCCACACUGGAAGUGAGACACGGUCCAGACUCCCACGGGAGGCACCAGGGGGGAAUAUUGGGCAAUGGGCGCAAGCCUGAUCCAGCCAUACUGCGUGGGUGAAGAAGGACUUCGGGUUGUAAAGCCCUUCUGUUGGGAAAGAAAAGCAGCAGGUUAAUACCCCGCUGUUCUGACGGUACCCAAAGAAUAAGCACCGGCUAACUUCGUG
rnacentral:rRNA from 1 species